rnacentral:rRNA from 1 species
GGCCACAACCAUAUCAUCUUGCAACCCAAGACUGGUUACUCACUGAAGCUAAGCAGGGCUGAGCCUGAUCAGUAUCUAGAUGGGAGACCACAAGGGAAAACUAGGUUGCUGUUGAAG